UGAUUUUAUGGAUUAGAUCGAAAGUUUCCUAAACUUUAGAUAGGGGUUCGAUUCCCCUCGGGA
rnacentral:tRNA from 1 species